GGGGGCCGCACCUGAGGCGGCGGGAGGGCGGUGGGGGCGGCCGUCCUUCAGGACCCUCAGCGAGCCCUGCAGCCCUCUAAACGUCCGUGAAAUCGUGGUCUUCUUUUAAUGAAGAUAUUUCCUAAAUAGAUUCAAGUGUCAACACCAAACCUUCCAAGUUCAUCAUAUAUUACUUGAUAUGCUAUAUUCUUACCCUACUUGAUAUGGAGUUGAAUAAGUUUGAACUAAUCUUUAUGUUCAUUGACCUGGAUAUCAAAUGAAGUCUUCUGCCUUGGUAAGCCUCUUGUCAGUGAUGGGAUGGCAACUCAAUUCCCUGUGCCUUGCAAACUCUGGAAGAAUGGCCUGGAUGAGUGUACAGUGAGGUGGAUUGAGAACUGACUGAAUGGCAACCUCACAGGGUUGUGAUCAGUGGCACAGUUGCAGGGAUGAAGAGGUAGAUGCCUCCUCAGUGAGUUUACUGAUGAUAAUAACUGGAAGGACCCAUCCCCCCAAAAGCUCUGCAGCCCUUCAGAAGACCCUGACAGGCUGGAGGGAUUGGCAGAGCAGAACAUUUUGAAAUUUCACAAAGGCAAAUGCAGGGUCUUGCACCCGGAGAAGAAUAACCCCGUGUACCAGGACAGGCUGGGGGCUGACCUGCUGGAAAACAACUUUGCAGAAAAGAACCUGGGGAUCCUGGCAGGCAACAAGCUGUCCAUGAGCCAGCAGUGUGCCCUUGUGAGCAAGAAGGCCAAUGGUGUUCCAAGGUGCAUUAGGAAGAGCAUUGCCAGUAGGUCAACAGAGGUGAUCCUGCUCCUUUACUCAGCCCUAGUGGAGCCACAUCUGUAGUGCUGCGUGCAGUUCUGGGCUCCUCAGGACAAAAGAGACACAAAGCUCCUGGUAGAGGUCCAGCAGCCGCUAUGAAAAUUAUUAAGGGACAGGAGUAUCUCUCUUAUGAGGAAAGGCUGAGGGAGCUGGGCCUAUUCAGCCUUAGAAGAGAAAACUAAGAGGGGACCUCACUGAUGUCUAUAAGUAUCUGAAGGGAAGGUGUCAAGAGGAUGGAGCCAGACUCUUCCCAGUGGUGCCAAACAACAAGAGGCAAUGGGCAGAAACUAAUGCACAAGUUCCACCUGAACAUGAAGAACUUCUUUAUUGUGAGACUGACUGAGCAUUGAAACAGAUUUCCCAGAGAUUGUGGGAAUAUCUCCUUCCCUGGAGAUAUUCAGAAGCCAUCUGGACACACUCCUGAGUAAUAUGCUCUAGGGGACCCUGCUUGAACAGAGAGGUUGGACUAGAUGACCUCCAGUGGUCCCUUCCCACCUGAACCAUACUGUGACUCUGUGAUUCCAAACCCACAGUCUCAAGCUCUGCUGGCUCAAGGCUAAGUACUGCCUCAGAGCAGGAAGGUGGAGUGUCACCUUGUUCCAGUCUUGUCUCAUGAUUUUCUUGCAAAAUACAGUUCUUUUGCAGUUGUGUAGCUCCAGAUAGCCCCAGGUCUUCUGUCAUACAUUACAAGGUAUAUUGCAACCUGUAAUAAAAAGACAACUACUUAAUACACAGGUAAUGAUUUACGGUUAAAAGAACACGUAAUUCUUGUAACAGUGUU